AACGCGAAGAACCUUACCAGCCCUUGACAUGUCCCGUAUGGGUGGGGGAGACCCCACCCUUCAGUUCGGCUGGCGGGAACACAGGUGCUGCAUGGCUGUCGUCAGCUCGUGUCGUGAGAUGUUGGGUUAAGUCCCGCAACGAGCGCAACCCUUAUCUUCAGUUGCCAGCGGUUAGGCCGGGCACUCUGAAGAAACUGCCGGUGACAAGCCGGAGGAAGGCGGGGAUGAUGUCAAGUCAUCAUGGCCUUUAUGUCCAGGGCUACACACGUGCUACAAUGGACGGUACAAAGCGCUGCAAACCCGCGAGGGGGAGCUAAUCGCAAAAAACCGUUCUCAGUUCGGAUCGCAGGCUGCAACUCGCCUGCGUGAAGCUGGAAUCGCUAGUAAUGCCGGAUCAGAACGCUGGCGUGAAUACGUUCCCGGGCCUUGUACACACCGGCUAC
rnacentral:rRNA from 1 species